GAGAGAGGAAGCGCGGCUGCCGGGUCAGUGACCUGAGGAAAGUCUCCCCACCAUCUGAACACACGAACACCUGUAAAGGGUGUCUGGCGAGAGCCAGGGCUCUGGCACAGAAACGAUACCACCCCAUACAAAUGCAAUGAUACUGGAAAGUUGAGGUCGUAUGGAAUGUGGAUGGAACGGCGAAUCCUCGUGGGUGCAAGUCAGAAGUAGGGACAAACGGAGUUCAGACCGUCCCCGAAGUUGAAGACGCAUAGCUGAAUGCCGCAACUGCAAAUGCCACUGGCUAUCUCUUUAGUGCCAUGUACUAUCGAGAUUAUUGCAGCAACAGAAGGGAGCUUACUCUCCUCACUC
rnacentral:RNase_P_RNA from 1 species